CCCACUGGGAAAAAUGAAGGACCUAAUUUUCAAUCAGUAAAAACCCAAGCAACUCAAGAAAUGCAGGUGAAGAUUCAAAAUGAAAUUUUGGAAUUUGCUGGCAAAUAUAAGGUGGAGAGCGCGAGCGAGGGAGCGAGCAUGUCGGACCCGGUGGUGUGCAGCUUUAUCACCAAGGUGAUCUGCUCCAAAGGGGGCCGCGUGGAGUACAGCAGGCUGGCGAGCGAAGUGCAACUCCCCGACCCACAGCUGCGGCAGAUCCUGGAGGAGCCCGGGCAGGAGAGAUUCCUGGUGCGACCCGACGGGACCUCCACCUGGGUCUUGGCCGUCUCCGCCGUGAGGACCUGCGUCCGCAAGGAGUGCGAGGGCUGUGACAGACUCCAUCUCUGCAAGCUCAACCUCAAGUGGAAGUGCAGGGCCAGGUCUUGUAAGUACUCUCACAACAUUUUAUCAGAAGAUAAUCAAAAAGUCCUGAAGAAUCAUGAACUUUCUGGCCUGAACGAGAAUGAGUUGCGUGUUUUGCUUUUUCAAAAUGACCCCUUUCUCUUACCUGAUGUAUGCAAUGCCUACAACAGAGGUGACAAGAACUGCAACCAGCCGGAUGAUUGUCCCAAGCUUCACAUUUGCCGGCACUUUCUCAAAGGAGAGUGCAGGUUUUCCCACUGCAAGAAGUCUCAUAACCUUCUGGAACCAAAAAUCCUGGCUCUGCUACUUGCAGAGGGCAUGGAUGAUAAGAUGGCCUGGAAUAUCCAGACAAUCUGCGAUUACAAAGCUGCUGCAUUGAUACAGGACUUAGGUGCAUAUUUCAAGCCAGCAAGAGGUCGAGCAAAACCAACGGGUGGGAAUCAUGGAGAGCCCAAACGGGAGCGAGAUUCCUCUGUGCAUACUUUCUUGAAGCCAAGCCUUGACCAAAAUAUGGGAACAGCUUAUAAUACUAAACUUCCACAGAAUACAGACAAAGAGAAAAGUCAUGAGAAAGACAAAAUUGAUGAAAUAUGUUUGCACUACCUCUGGCACUUCUGCAAAAACAAAAGUAACUGCAACAUGAUCCAUUACGAUUUGCCAUAUCGGUGGCAAGUACAGACAGGAGAUGGCUGGAAGGAUUUGGCUAAACGAGAGGAAAUAGAGAAAGCCUACAGUGACCCAAGCAUUACUACAUAUAAAGCUAAUCCUGCCCUCGUUGUGAAAAGUCUUUUGGAUCUUGAUAUUGAUUUUAAGACCAUGAUGUCUAAUGCUUGUCCAGUUCGACGGUUAUCUACUCCAUCAUCUGUCACCAGACCUGCAAAGUUUGUGAUGACCACAAAGUGGCUUUGGUAUUGGAAGAACGAUGUAGGCCAAUGGAUUGAAUAUGGGAAACAGGAUGGAACACGCCAAGGCUCCAGUUUAAAUUCUGAUGACCUAGAGAAUUUAUUCCUAGCAGACCCAGCUGGCAGCAUCCAGUUUAGUGCAGGACCCCAGAAAUAUGAGAUUAAUUUUAAUGAUAUGAUCCAGAGAAAUUUGUUGUACCAAACGCAGAGGGACGUCCGGAGGCGCCCCAAAUUUGUUUCUGCUGAAGAUGUAAAGACAAAGAAAGGACUGUUGAACUCAACAAACUGUCUCCUGAAUAUACGAACAUUGAAUAUCUCUUUCAAAAGACAAUGAGCAAUUACAUCAUCCUCAGAAUAAGAAGAAUCCAGAACCCAUCCCUUUGGCAAGUUUACCAGUGGCAAAAAGAGCAGAUGAAGAAGAAAAGAGGAGGGCGGAGUGCUGAUGAGAAGCUCCUGUUCCAUGGGACCACUUCUAACCUGGAAACCA